rnacentral:rRNA from 2 species
GCGAAAUCGUGUCCACUUGCUUCGGAGUCCGAUAUUAGCCAUCUCUGUUGUGCGGGUUUAGACCCGCAGCGGAAGCUCAGUAACACGUGGCCAAGCUACCCUGUGGACGGGAAUACUCUCGGGAAACUGAGGCUAAUCCCCGAUAACGCUUUGCUCCUGGAAGGGGCAAAGCCGGAAACGCUCCGGCGCCACAGGAUGCGGCUGCGGUCGAUUAGGUAGACGGUGGGGUAACGGCCCACCGUGCCCAUAAUCGGUACGGGUUGUGAGAGCAAGAGCCCGGAGACGGAAUCUGAGACAAGAUUCCGGGCCCUACGGGGCGCAGCAGGCGCGAAACCUUUACACUGUACGAAAGUGCGAUA